rnacentral:rRNA from 1 species
UACAGAGGUCUCAAGCGUUGUUCGGAUUCAUUGGGCGUAAAGGGUGCGUAGGCGGCGCGGUAAGUCGGGUGUGAAAUCUCGGAGCUUAACUCCGAAACUGCAUUCGAUACUGCCGUGCUUGAGGACUGGAGAGGAGACUGGAAUUUACGGUGUAGCGGUGAAAUGCGUAGAUAUCGUAAGGAAGACCAGUGGCGAAGGCGGGUCUCUGGGCAGUAACUGACGCUGAGGGGCGAAAGCGUGGGGAGCGAACAGG